AAAAAAAAGACCUCAUAAUCAGGGCGAUUGUGCUUCAUUCCAGCGUGAGAGUUAUCCCCAUGCUGGACCAGCUGAGAAAGGGUCUUCAACUAUAUGGCCUGCUCAGUGUUCUGAACCAACACCCAGAGCUUGGUCUGCCACUCUUUGUUCCAGGGGAUGAUGAUGACAGGGUGGAUGCUGCCUUCAUUAUGGAAAAAUGGCAACCUGUGUUCAGUGAGAAGGGCUCUCUGAAGUACACUAGAG